UUACUGAAGUAAUGUGGCAUUUUGGUCUAAGGUGGGGGCACUAGGAUUUUCUAUUAGCCACACAAAGUGUGCAUAACUGCUAGAUCUGCACCUCCCCAGGUACAUAUUGUGGAAGAAUAAAAAUCUAAAGAAUAUAUCCUUUGAUCCUAAUUCCUCACACCAUUGUCCAGGGAUAAAUUAAAAGACCUUAAACUAACAAUUUCUCUGAAAAAAGAGAGAAAAGGUGGCCAGUAAUAUAUAGCAGAAAACAAGUUACUGAUCAGGCUAUAUUAUUGUGCUGAAUUUGUUGCUCUUGAAUCUUGUAAUAUUCAUGGUGUCGAUUCAGUCUCGAGCUAUUUUUAUGGUCCAACUAAUCAACUGUGUUUGUACUCCCUCCGUUCCUAAAUAUUUGUCUUUUUAGAGAUUUCAAAUGGACUACCACAUACGGAUGUAUAUGGACAUAUUUUAGAGUGUAGAUUCACUCAUUUUUGCUCCGUAUGCAGUCACUUGUUGAAAUCUUUAGAAAGACAAAUAUUUGGAAACGGAGGGAGUAGUAUUUAAGUAACUCUUUAAGCAACAUGCAUGAAAGACUGGUUUAUACUUGCAUGCCCGGUAGACACCAUUCUUACUCUGCAUUUGCCUGCCUGCACAUUUACAACUGAACUGCUGUAGCCCUAGCUUGAAAUUUAGAUCAUAAUUAUAAAACCAGUGAGGUGUCCGUGCCAAUGAAAAGUUGAUUUGUGCGUAUAUACACAAAACAUUUGCCUGAAUUACCUUAAUCAAAUUAUGUUACUGAGACAACUAUUUGAUUUUUGGAGUAGUUAAUUAUAGCGCAAUUACAUUUAUGUUUGGAAGAAUCAGUUAGUACACAUUCAGAAGUAAUAUACCGCGGGGUAGACUCAGGAUGUAACACUAAAAUUCUCCUAUCUUUGGCACCACUUUUCUGUUGCAUUGUGGUCUUUCUUGGUUCUCCCUGUCCUUUUUUCUCCAUUCACCCUUCAAUCCGGAUAGCUCAGUUAGAAAGGCUAGGUCAGAGCAUCUCUGUGCCUCCAAAGCCGCCCUGGAUUCGCAAUUAUUGAGGCGCCUCCACUAUAAAAAGGCAACCAUCCACAAGAAGUAAGAACACAGCGAGCAAGCAAGCAAAGCACACAACAAGGACAAGACAGCAGCUGAGAACCCUAGUACUGAACCAAAAGCCUUCACAGGGGCUUACUGCGAAUGAACACCCAGAGGAAGCCUGGAGACUGGAACUGCAACUCGUGCCAGCACCUCAACUUCAGCCGCCGUGACUUCUGUCAGCGCUGCCGUGCCACGCGCUCGGAUCUGCAGCUCGGAGACGGCCGCUGUAUAGGUGGUGUGCUGACCUCCCUGGACGUUCGCCCAGGUGACUGGUACUGCAAUUGCGGCUACCACAACUUCGCCAGCCGCUCCAGCUGCCUCAAGUGUGGCACCAUCGUGAGGGACUUCCCCGCAGGCCAGGGUGGCACUGGCGCUGCUGAGAGCGGUGGAGUUCGUGCUGGGUGGAAAACUGGUGACUGGAUAUGCACAAGGCCUGGCUGUAAUGUGCACAAUUUUGCAAGCAGAAUUGAGUGCUAUCAUUGCAAUGCACCUAGGGAAGCAGGCACCGGGAAGUAAGGAUCAACCAUGCCGACCGAGAUCGAGAGGCGUGACGCGAUGGCUUAGGACGAGACCAACCAUUGUCACACUCGCAAGCUGCGAUCCAGGAAGAAUAAAACUACAGAGUAGUAUAUAUGAUGUAUUGCCACCUGUUAUACUACUACAACCGUUGCAUGGUUGCGAGGGCAGGAGAAGUUCCCUUAGCUUCCAGAAUGUAACGCGUGCAUGGUAUCGUCGCGCCUCGUUUACGUUGGUCGAGGCGUCGCUCAUAUUGUACGGUUUGGAUUACUUGAAUAAAUAUUCUUAA
rnacentral:rRNA from 1 species